UCUAGAUCUUAUUCAAUGGAAAAAUGUAAAAUUUAACAGGUUUUUUAUCUUUACUAGAUCAGUCAACCGCUCUACUACUACAAAAUUCCUUAAAUACGUUUUCUGGUUCUGACUGUACAUUAACAGUUGGAUCAAAUGUAACUGUUUAAAUCACACGAAACCCAACUGAAGAAAGCGGUUCAUUUUAUACUUGGAUUAAGGCUUUUUCUUUAGGUAGAUAGUUUCUAAGACUUAAAUAUCUAUGUUUUUAAGAAAAGAAGGAUUCAAAACAUGUUAGAUGAUUAACCAAUCAUAAAUAAACUUUGUAGCCGACCAACCUUCUUAUGAACAUGUAAAAAAGUCGCUUAGUAAGUAUUUGUAAUAAAUGUUAUGAUUUAUAUUUAAA